rnacentral:rRNA from 1 species
UACGGAGGGAGCUAGCGUUGUUCGGAAUUACUGGGCGUAAAGCGCACGUAGGCGGCUUUGUAAGUUAGAGGUGAAAGCCCGAGGCUCAACCUCGGAACUGCCUUUGAUACUGGGGAUCUCGAGUCCGGGAGAGGUGAGUGGAACUGCGAGUGUAGAGGUGAAAUUCGUAGAUAUUCGCAAGAACACCAGUGGCGAAGGCGGCUCACUGGCCCGGUACUGACGCUGAGGUGCGAAAGCGUGGGGAGCAAACAGG